rnacentral:sRNA from 1 species
CCCCCACCUCCUCCACCUUUUAAGUGAUAGCCUCUGAUUUCCUUGAUUUCGCAUCUCUUUUUCGUAACGUUAUUCUAACGCUGCCACAUGGAUGUCUAUCGUUUUCCUUACUUUUUCCUUUGCCGCAUAAAUAUGGGUUUGCCGGUUUCUAGUUCUUCCGAUUGUUAAAGGGGUUGUUUGGAAAGCUUCAUGUUUUUUUUUUUGCUCCAAAAUAAUAGAACACGCUCUUCGAUGUUAUUCUCCAACAAUGAUAUGUGCAUAUGUAUGCGUCUGUUGGAGUCACUGAGAUGGCAGGCAAUUGAAACUAGGAAACUCAACUAUAUGUGUGGAAAGUUAACCUUGCACAGGGUGCUACGAAGAGGCUGAGGUAGCAUCCCAGGUAUCUCUCUCAGCGUGCUCAAUGUCCUCAAUUUCUUCCUCCUCAUUUUAGCCUACAAUCUAUAGAAAUUUAUCUCUUCCAGCAGGAAUGUCAGGUGAUAAUCCGG